rnacentral:tRNA from 1 species
GGAGAGGUGGCCGAGUGGUUGAAGGCGCACGCCUGGAAAGCGUGUGGGUGGGAAACUGUCUCGGGGGUUCGAAUCCCCCCCUCUCCGCCA